rnacentral:rRNA from 1 species
UACGUAGGGUGCGAGCGUUGUCCGGAAUUAUUGGGCGUAAAGAGCUUGUAGGCGGUUUGUCGCGUCUGCCGUGAAAAUCCGGGGCUCAACCCCGGACUUGCGGUGGGUACGGGCAGACUAGAGUGUGGUAGGGGAGACUGGAAUUCCUGGUGUAGCGGUGAAAUGCGCAGAUAUCAGGAGGAACACCGAUGGCGAAGGCAGGGUCUCUGGGCCACUACUGACGCUGAGAAGCGAAAGCGUGGGGAGCGAACAGG